UGGAUCAAUGAUGACUUUACUGCGAGUAUUUGAGUCAUGGAUUAUGACGACAAACACAAGAGUCUGAGGUCAAC